CUAAGGCCGAUGGCGACCGGCGCACGGGUGAGUAACGCGUAUCCAACCUGCCUUACACUCUUGGACAGCCUUCUGAAAGGGAGAUUAAUACAAGAUGUUAUCAUGAGUAAGCAUUUUCGCAUGAUUAAAGGUUUACCGGUGUAAGAUGGGGAUGCGUUCCAUUAGAUAGUAGGCGGGGUAACGGCCCACCUAGUCUUCGAUGGAUAGGGGUUCUGAGAGGAAGGUCCCCCACAUUGGAACUGAGACACGGUCCAAACUCCUGCGGGAGGCAGCAGUGAGGAAUAUUGGUCAAUGGACGAGAGUCUGAACCAGCCAAGUAGCGUGAAGGAUGAAGGUUCUAUGGAUUGUAAACUUCUUUUAUACGGGAAUAAACGGAUCCACGUGUGGAUUUUUGCAUGUACCGUAUGAAUAAGGAUCGGCUAACUCCGUGCCAGCAGCCGCGGUAAUACGGAGGAUCCGAGCGUUAUCCGGAUUUAUUGGGUUUAAAGGGAGCGUAGAUGGGUUGUUAAGUCAGUUGUGAAAGUUUGCGGCUCAACCGUAAAAUUGCAAUUGAUACUGGCAGUCUUGAGUACAGUUGAGGUAGGCGGAAUUCGUGGUGUAGCGGUGAAAUGCUUAGAUAUCACGAAGAACUCCGAUUGCGAAGGCAGC
rnacentral:rRNA from 1 species